rnacentral:rRNA from 1 species
UUGAACGCUGGCGGCAUGCUUUACACAUGCAAGUCGAACGGCAGCGCGGGCUUCGGCCUGGCGGCGAGUGGCGAACGGGUGAGUAAUACAUCGGAACGUGCCCAGUAGUGGGGGAUAGCUCGGCGAAAGCCGGAUUAAUACCGCAUACGACCUGAGGGUGAAAGCGGGGGAUCUUCGGACCUCGCGCUAUUGGAGCGGCCGAUGGCAGAUUAGCUAGUUGGUGGGGUAAAGGCCUACCAAGGCGACGAUCUGUAGCGGGUCUGAGAGGACGACCAGCCACACUGGGACUGAGACACGGCCCAGGCUCCUACGGGAGGCAGCAGUGGGGAAUUUUGGACAAUGGGCGAAAGCCUGAUCCAGCAAUGCCGCGUGUGUGAUGAAGGCCUUCGGGUUGUAAAGCACUUUUGGCGGGAACGAAAAGGACUGUGCCAAUACCACGGUUCGAUGACGGUACCCGCAGAAUAAGCACCGGCUAACUACGUG